rnacentral:rRNA from 1 species
GACAGAGGGUGCAAACGUUGUUCGGAUUUACUGGGCGUAAAGCGUGCGCAGGCGGUUGUGCAAGACAGAUGUGAAAUCCCCGGGCUCAACCUGGGAACUGCAUUUGUGACUGCACGGCUGGAGUGCGGCAGAGGGGGAUGGAAUUCCGCGUGUAGCAGUGAAAUGCGUAGAGAUCAUGAGGAAGACCAGUGGCGAAGGCGGGUCUCUGGACAGUUCCUGACACUGAGACACGAAGGCCAGGGGAGCAAACGGG